rnacentral:tRNA from 1 species
AGGGCUAUAGCUCAGUUAGGUAGAGCACCUCGUACCGAGAAGGUCUACGGUUCGAGUCCGUAUAGCCCUA